rnacentral:rRNA from 1 species
CCCUUAGAUGUUCUGGGCUGCACGCGUGCUACACUGAUUACUUCAACAAGUGUUUUAACUGGAGAGUUCGCGUAAUCCUGAAAUGUUAUCGUGAUGGGAGUAGAGUAUUGUAUUUGUUAAUCUUUAACGAGGACUUCCUAGUAAGUGUAGGUUUAUUUGUUUUUUUUUUUACGUCCCUGCCCUUUGUACACACCGCCCGUCGCUCCUACCGAUUGGGUGUGCUGGUGAAAUGUUCGGAUCGGCCGUUUGUCGCGGUUUCCGCGUCAUGUGGCUGAGAAGUUCAUUAAACCCUCCCACCUAGAGGAAGGAGAAGUCGUAACA